rnacentral:lncRNA from 1 species
GCCCCCUCUCUCUCUCCUUUGAUGCCAAACCAAGAAGAGCGGGUGGGCCCUUCUCUCUUCCUUAUACCAUUCCAAGGGGUUGGCGCCCCUUGGACCUUCCAAAAAAAAGAGGAUGGCACCAUCUCUUCUUUCCAUCAAUUUUUCGCUUCAAAAGAAAAUAUCAAAGGAGAAAAAGAGAAUUAGAUUGCCAACUUAUUGACAUGAUCUAAUCCUC